UACAGAGGUCUCAAGCGUUGUUCGGAUUCAUUGGGCGUAAAGGGUGCGUAGGCGGCGCGGUAAGUCGGGUGUGAAAUCUUGGAGCUUAACUCCGAAACUGCAUUCGAUACUGCCGUGCUUGAGGACUGGAGAGGAGACUGGAAUUUACGGUGUAGCGGUGAAAUGCGUAGAUAUCGUAAGGAACGCCGGUGGUGAAGACGGGUGACUGGGCUGGUUCUGACACUGAGGCACGAAAGCGUGGGGAGCGAACGGG
rnacentral:rRNA from 1 species